rnacentral:tRNA from 1 species
GGGCGCUUAGCUCAGCUGGGAGAGCAUUCGCUUCACACGCGAGGGGUCACAGGUUCAAGUCCUGCAGUGCCCA